rnacentral:rRNA from 1 species
CUGCACGUGUAAGUAAAAGCUUCAUUAGGGUGAAACCGCGAAGUGGCUCAUUAAAUCACCAACCUAAGGUCUCUACUGGAAAGUUAAACAGUUACUUGCGAUAACUGAGCUAAUUGUUGAGCUAAUACAUGAUCGACGAAAAUCCCCGACUCACGCCUGAGGGGAGCUUUUAUUAGAUCAAAACCAGACGGCUUCGGCCGUAUCUCUGGCGACUCUGAAUAACUUUGGGCUGAUCGUAUUUGCCUCGUGCACACGACGUUUCCUUCAAAGGUGUGCCCUAUCAACUGUCCACUGUGAUAUAGACGCUCACAGUGGUUUUGACGGGUAACGGGGAAUCAGGGUUCGAUUCCGGAGAGGGAGCCUCUCUAAAAACGGCUACCACAUCCAAGGAAGGCAGCGGGCACGCAAAUUACCCAAUGACCGAAGGUCGAGGUAGUGACGAAAAAUAACGAUACCGGUCACUCAUCCGACUAAGAACGGCCCGGUAAUUGGAAUGAGUACACUUUAAAACCGUUCCCGAGGAAUCAAUCCUUCUGGAGGGCAAGUCUGGUGCCAGCAGCCGCGGUAAUUCCAGCUCAGCAAUAGCGUAUAUUAAAGUUGUUGUGGUUAAAAAGCUCGUAGUUGGAUCUCGGCGGGCAGCAGUCGGUGCGAUAGAUUUCGCUACUGGCUCGUUUGCUCGUGUGUUGUGUC